rnacentral:rRNA from 1 species
GUCCUUGCCGUAAACGAUGUAUACUUGAUGUAAUUAGGCUCAACCCUGAUUGUGUCGAAGCUAACGCGAUAAGUAUACCGCCUGAGGAGUACGCUCGCAAGGGUGAAACUCAAAAGAAUUGACGGGGGCCCCGCACAAGCAGUGGAGCAUGUGGUUUAAUUCGAUGCAACGCGAAGAACCUUACCCAGGCUCGAAAUAUAGUAGACGAUACCAGAGAUGGUAUUUUCCGUAAGGACUGCUGUAUAGGUGCUGCAUGGCUGUCGU